UUGGAGGGCAAGUCUGGUGCCAGCAGCCGCGGUAAUUCCAGCUCCAAUAGCGUAUAUUAAAGUUGCUGCAGUUAAAAAGCUCGUAGUUGAAUUUCGGGACCAUCAUGUCGGUCGUGCCUCGGUACGUACUGGUAUUGUUGGUUUCUCCCUUCUGACGAACCAUGAUGUCAUUUAUUUGGUGUUGUGGGGAAUCAGGACUGUUACUUUGAAAAAAUUAGAGUGUUUAAAGCAGGCUCACGCUUGAAUACAUUAGCAUGGAAUAAUGAAAUAGGACGGUUGAUUCUAUUUUGUUGGUUUCUAGGAUCGACGUAAUGAUUAAUAGGGAUAGUUGGGGGCAUUAGUAUUCAAUUGUCGGAGGUGAAAUUCUUGGAUUUAUUGAAGACUAACUACUGCGAAAGCAUUUGCCAAGGAUGUUUUCAUUAAUCAUGAACGAAAGUUAGGGGAUCGAAGACGAUCAGAUACCGUCGUAGUCUUAACCAUAAACUAUACCGACUAGGGAUCGGAUGAUGUUAAUUUUUUAAUGACUCAUUCGGCGCCUUACGGGAAACCAAAGUGUUUGGGUUC
rnacentral:rRNA from 1 species